UGGGGAAUAUUGGGCAAUGGGCGAAAGCCUGACCCAGCAACGCCGCGUGAAGGAAGAAGGCCUUCGGGUUGUAAACUUCUUUUAUCAGGGACGAAGGAUGUGACGGUACCUGAUGAAUAAGCCACGGCUAACUACGUGCCAGCAGCCGCGGUAAUACGUAGGUGGCGAGCGUUGUCCGGAUUUACUGGGUGUAAAGGGCGCGUAGGCGGGGAUGCAAGUCAGGUGUGAAAUCUAUGGGCUUAACCCAUAAACUGCACUUGAAACUGCAUUUCUUGAGUGAUGGAGAGGCAGGCGGAAUUCCUAGUGUAGCGGUGAAAUGCGUAGAUAUUAGGAGGAACACCAGUGGCGAAGGCGGCCUGCUGGACAUUAACUGACGCUGAUGCGCGAAAGCGUGGGGAGCAAACAGG
rnacentral:rRNA from 3 species